rnacentral:rRNA from 1 species
CACGUAGGGUGCGAGCGUUGUCCGGAAUUAUUGGGCGUAAAGAGCUCGUAGGCGGUGUGUCGCGCCGGCCGUGAAAACCUGCAGCUUAACUGUGGGCUUGCGGUCGAUACGGGCAUCACUGGAGUUCGGCAGGGGAGACUGGAAUUCCUGGUGUAGCGGUGAAAUGCGCAGAUAUCAGGAAGAACACCGGUGGCGAAGGCGGCUUGCUGGGCCAUCACUGACGCUGAGACACGAAAGCGUGGGGAGCAAACGGG